GUUCACGUGGACCUGGUGCAUCGAAUUUCAUCAUGAUUUUUUCUGAUUAUUCUCUUCAGUCGCUUAAGCUUCCACCCGACGAAACUCUUUCGCAUUCCUUGUGGAAGCCCUAGCAUCCGAGCUUCCCUAUUCAGCUGCUGCAAGCUUCCCACCCGAUUGAGACUCUUAGACAGAGAAAACAUAGGAAAAACUAGUAGAAAAUGAAGAAAAGACCG
rnacentral:lncRNA from 1 species